rnacentral:tRNA from 1 species
CCAAGAGUAGUCUACUAACAGAUAUCUGAUUUCGACUCAGAAGACCUUACACACUUAAGCUCUUGUA